UACGUAGGUGGCAAGCGUUGUCCGGAAUUAUUGGGCGUAAAGAGCUCGUAGGCGGCUCAACCAGUCGGCUGUGAAAUCCCGAGGCUCAACCUCGGACAUGCAGUCGAUACUGUUGUGGCUAGAGUUUGGUAGAGGAGAACGGAAUUCCCGGUGUAGCGGUGAAAUGCGCGGAUAUCGGGAGGAACACCAGUAGCGAAGGCGGUUCUCUGGGCCAACACUGACGCUGAGGAGCGAAAGCGUGGGUAGCAAACAGG
rnacentral:misc_RNA from 1 species